AACAUACCCUAGAGUGGGGGAUAACGUAGCGAAAGUUACGCUAAUACCGCAUACGAACUCAGGUUGAAAGUGGGGGAUCGCAAGACCUCAUGCUCAUGGAGUGGCCGAUAUCUGAUUAGCUAGUUGGUAGGGUAAAAGCCUACCAAGGCGACGAUCAGUAGCUGGUUUGAGAGAACGACCAGCCACACUGGAACUGAGACACGGUCCAGACUCCUACGGGAGGCAGCAGUGGGGAAUUUUGGACAAUGGGGGCAACCCUGAUCCAGCAAUGCCGCGUGAGU
rnacentral:rRNA from 1 species